rnacentral:rRNA from 1 species
GACGAACGCUGGCGGCGUGCUUAACACAUGCAAGUCGAACGGUUAACCUCUUCGUAGGGGAUCAGUGGCGAACGGGUGAGUAACACGUGGGCAACCUGCCCCCGGCUCUGGGAUAACUCCAAGAAAUUGGGGCUAAUACCGGAUGUUCACCGCUUCCCGCAUGGGUGGUGGUGCAAAGGGUUUCCGGCUGGGGAUGGGCCCGCGGCCUAUCAGCUUGUUGGUGGGGUGGUGGCCUACCAAGGCGACGACGGGUAGCCGGCCUGAGAGGGGGAACGGCCACAUGGGGAAUGAGAGAAGGCCCAGACGCGUACGGGAGGCAGCAGGGGGGAAGAGGGCAAAAGGGGCGGAAGCAGGAUGCAGCAACGCCGCGGGAGGGAUGACGGACUGCGGGUUGUAAAACGCGUUGGCCUGGGACGAAGAGUGAGUGACGGUAAUGGGUAAAGAAGCACAGGCUAACUACGGG